rnacentral:rRNA from 1 species
AGUGAACGCUGGCGGUAGACCUAACACAUGCAAGUCGAACGGCAGCACAGUAAGAGCUUGCUCUUACGGGUGGCGAGUGGCGGACGGGUGAGGAAUACAUCGGAAUCUACUUUUUCGUGGGGGAUAACGUAGGGAAACUUACGCUGAUACCGCAUACGACCUACGGGUGAAAGCAGGGGAUCUUCGGACCUUGCGCGAUUGAAUGAGCCGAUGUCGGAUUAGCUAGUUGGCGGGGUAAAGGCCCACCAAGGCGACGAUCCGUAGCUGGUCUGAGAGGAUGAUCAGCCACACUGGAACUGAGACACGGUCCAGACUCCUACGGGAGGCAGCAGUGGGGAAUAUUGGACAAUGGGCGCAAGCCUGAUCCAGCCAUACCGCGUGGGUGAAGAAGGCCUUCGGGUUGUAAAGCCCUUUUGUUGGGAAAGAAAAGCAGCAGGUUAAUACCCCGCUGUUCUGACGGUACCCAAAGAAUAAGCACCGGCUAACUUCGUG